UUUUGCCUGCAGGUUGCCAGCCAGCGCGAUCAUUUCUCAGCUCUCAAACUGUGCCUGAACGGAAAGUUACAAGGGGCCCCGGUUGAUUCAUUUUCCAAAGCCUAAAAGACAUUUGACCAAGUGUCUACGAUGGAUUAAGGCUCAGGGAAGAGCGCAUGUACAACUAAAUGGAAAAAUUAUCAACAAACACACGGCUGUAUGUUCAAAGGAGAACAACUUUCACUUUGAGGGGGUACCACUGACCUGCUGAAUGAAGUGUGUAAUGUUUUAUCCCAAAGAGUUGGGCUAGUGAUACGUAAAUGCACGAUGUCAUGCAAGAGAAAUGUCUAUUUGCCUAUUUGGAUCACAUCAGACUUUUACGACAGAGCACUGGUUUCCAUUACGAGCCAAGUCAAAUGAAUACACCCACUCACUUAUAAAGACUACAAUGAUAUUACUCGUGAUCUUUCCAUGUAAAAAGUACUCACCCUGCUUUACGUGCGGGGUACGAUUCCACUAUUUUAUCCUGUUGGAUUUUAAUAUGAAGUCUGUGAGGCGUCAAACUUUUUUGCAUCGAUUGCCAACGUUUCGCUGUAACUCUGACAUUGCGUCCUGGUCCGUCCAAAAUCUUAAUUCCAUGUAUAUAUCCUUGCGUGAAAUAUUUGAGACCUCUCUGUAGAACUCUCUUGGACGAGUCUGACGCAUUUGGCAAAAAACAUACCCCAAUAUUAUCUGGAAUAUGCGAUAGAUAAUCGACUUCAAACGUGUUCUGUUCAAUCGCCAUUUUGGAAGCUUGUGGGACAUGGCUAAAGGGGCAGAGCUUAAGAUCGCCAUCGGAAAAGUCCAUUGUAGCUGACCUCUCGCUUCACUAGAUGUACAUAGUUUUGCAUCACUAGUAAGAUAUCCUUUUCAAUUACAACUGUGUACUAUUAGUAUUACUCGUGAAUAAAUUAUACUGGUUGAGAUCCAACGCUUCAACAGUGGCACGAGUGCUGCACCAAUGUCAACUAGUUCAGUUUUGCCUUAGUAAUAAUGUAAUUGUCCUAGUAGUUGAUAACUAAGUGCGACUAGUCCUCAUGACGUUACAGUCUGACUAGUUAACAUCUAGCAGAUGUCAACUAUUAUAGCUUUGCCUCAUUAGUAACAUGAAGUUGUACAGUGUGUAAAAAUGUCACAUAUUAAAGACUAUUACUAGUAAUACAUGUAAUGUAGUCAUUACACUGUAUUAAGAUAUGUAACAAUGUGAUACAAACGUUUUUAAAAAAAGCAUGUGGAGUAAAAACAAGUCUGAAUUGUAAUACUGGUGAAAAUGUUUCCAUUCCCUAUGGGGUGGGAGCAGCAGCCAUUCUUUUAAAGUCUUUACAGGCCAAUAUGGACACCACAUGCAGAACCACCCCCCCCAACCCCCCCCCCAACCAAUCGGCAAACUACAUGAUGAUAAUGAACACCAGAGGUGACAAAAAGUACUAACACUCUGUACCAAAGUAGAUGUACAGAUACUUGCGCAAAAAGAGAUGAAGUUGCAUACUCCUAUUGUCAUUUCUUUUUUCUCGUUUUGUUAUUUUAAGCCCAGUUUUUGCAGUGGAGGAACAUUGUAUGAUAUUGUACUAUACGCCAACAUAUAGUAAUAACCUAAUGAAAUAAUGGAAAGAGUUUGUGCAUCAUCACGAUGUGCGUGGAGCGAGAAGAUCGAUGUGCACCUCGUGUCACCAUUUGUUAUGUGACUCGAGAAAAGCGAAAACCUUGACUGGUUUGCGGCGAAGCGACCGCAACAUCUGUGCUGGCCUUUUACGAGAAAACUCAGCCAUCCACACGCUAACACAACACACACACACAUGCUCAGCACUUGUUGCACACCUGUAAGACAUUAAUUGUGGUUCUACACUGAAGGUUUUUAUUUUUUCAAACUGAAAGAAUUUCAUAAAUAAGUACAUGAAGCAGCCGUGCACACAAGUGGUCCUCUUAAAGGCACAGUUGGUGCAUUUAAAUGCAUAGAGAGAAU